CUAGGAUGACAGGCGUGAGCCACUGCGCCCGGCCUCAUUUCAGAUUGUAUUCCCCGCGUGGGGAGCCUCCUGGCUUCUUGUCUUGGGAGCCCUCGAGCCCCGUGUCCUUGCAGGGCACGGCCGGUGUGCAGCAGGCAGGCCUCUGGCCCGAGAACCCAGUCCGAGUGCUCAGGAUGAGAAGGUGGCUCCCGUCUGGGCUUAGCGAUCCCUCUGUUCCGAGAAGAAGACGACUUCUGCCGAAUGACGAUCCGUUUAUGAGCGAUUGCGUCCGAUUCGCAUCUCAUCUUGCCCCCCGCCGAUGCUCACCCUUUCAGGACGUCAUAAGGAAGGAAUAUUAGGGAAAGAUGCAUUCUUCCGGGCGGAGCUUGGCAGUGUCUGCUGGGAUCGGUCCGUCUUCCAGAACGCCGGGUUGGUGGGACCGUGCAGCCUGUGGGGCUUCCCGGCGAGGGCACCUCCGCGCCACCCCUGUUGCGUGUGGCAAGCGCCCCUCGCCCUCUCGCCAGCCCGAGCGCGUCGCCGUGAGCCAGGCUGCCGCGUGGUCUCCUCCAGCUGAGAGCUCUCUGCGCCGGAGCGGCUCGGUGUUUGCAUAGCAAUUAGUUUGUAUUCCUACAGAAAUUUCCACGGAUUCAAGUUCUCCAUAGAGAGAACGAACCAGAGGGUAAACUGAACCGCAGAUUAAAGGGCUCGUGUCAGGCAAUUCUUUGAACGGUUUUUACGGUUUUGAACCGUCAUUAUUUGUAAUAUUCUCUGAAAAGCCGGCAAAUAAUUGUUUUCCCCCUACUGAUUUGUUCUUCUCCUCUUAGCAAAUAUUGAUUCUCUGCAACCACCCCCCCCCACCCUCAAACCGGGUGCUGAAUGGAACCGAAAUUAACAGGGCUGCCUUUGUUUUAAUACAAUGAACAAAAACUUGCGCUGGGAGGGUUCUUGUCCUGCCAGCACAUCUGUGCGGGGCCCAGAUGGCGGCCGGGCUCUGGAAACGGGGUGCGCGUGAGCCGAGCGCUUCUGCAGAGUCAGCGGGGAGCGGAGACGCGGCAUUUUAUAUCGGCCCUACGGAAAUAGUAGCGUUCGAAAACCUCUUGGCAACAGAGGGCUUUUUUUUUUUUUUUUUUUAAGACUGUGCUAAGAUUGUGGGACUUCCCCGUUAGAUAACUAAGUAGAGAAAAGCCCGGUGUACAACCGGCAAGUCUGCUCGCAAGUGCGGCCGCAACUCUCCCUUGCUGGGGCUGAUGCCCGGGGUAGAUCUGACCGUCGGGAAGAGGCCGCAUGGCUUUUCCUUCCACCAGCAAAACGUUAUGGAGCGCCUGCUGUGUACGGGGCACAGGACAGGCGGUCGGCGGGGGACUCUGCAGAAAGGGUGCGGAAAGGAAGGUGCAAACUCACCAUCUCCCCGCACCCAGUUUCGCGUUUAGACCUAUUGAAACCAGUUUGCUCUGGUUUUCCUGGGACCAUCCCAAAAGCUCGGAGUCCUGGGAACCCCUCGAGCCUGGCUACACGGGGACAGAUGGUCACUUUACCUACAGCUGAGCUGGGAUUGAAUCUUUGGAUAUGGUCACAGAGGAGGCGACGAGAAGCACUGCGUCUGUGCCUGCCAAGUUGACCACGGAGCAAAGCGAGCACUUCCUCUCUUCGGGCUGUUCACGGCCUGAGGAAGGGCCACGAUUCCGGCUCUCGGAUCAGGUGGCUCCACUGCCGGCGACCCAGUCAUCCCAGGAGCAUCCUCCGGCGUCCCGGCGAAGUCGCUGAGGGAUCCGGUCACUCUUGGGGCUCCCCGGCCUCCCUCCCUGCCAUACCUGUGUUGCAGGAAGACUUUGGGGGACCCCACUGUGGACUCCCCACCGCGCAGACGGCCCUCCUGGGGGCGCCGUGGCUGGGCGAGGCGGCCCCGACAGGCAGGCCCCUCGCUUCCCGCCGUCCCGCGGACCCGAGGGGGACCCCUGGCCUGCUCGUGCCGUCGUGGGUCUCCCGGCCCUCCUUCUGGAUUUCGGGAGCAGGAGUCUGGAUCGGCCUCCCCGCUGCCCUCGCGGGAGGUGGGGGAGGGAGAGGGCAGGUGCAGGCGGGGGCUGGGCCCACAGCGCCCAUCCCAGGCUGCCAGGAAGGUCUCGGGGACGUGUCCUGGAACCGGCCCCCUCCCUCUCCCCUCUGGGACCGUCUGUCUGCGGCCAAGCCCCGUCCCACGACCUACUGACUCCCCUCCUGCCUCCGGCCGCCACCUCCAGGGAGGGGAGCGGAGUCCAGAGCAUGCAGGGGCGAGGCUGGAGGGACCGAGAUGUGAUGACAGUUUUGGGGGGCUGUCCUGACCGCCGUCCUUUGAUCAGGGAGUAAGGGAGGACCGCCAGCCCUGCAGUGCAAAGUCCUUGGGAAGCCCAGAAGCCGCCCGGGGUCCCCCAUCUCAACACCUGUGGACGCCCCGAGACCCUGGCAGAGCCCAGGGAGUGCUGGGUGCUGGCCCAGGCCACUCCGCCGCCCGCCUGCCUGGUCCCAUCCCAGAGAACCCCAGAAACAGAGUCCUCGUCUGGUGUGAACAGAGGGAACAAUUUCAUUUCGUUUUCCGGGUUCCUCUCUCCCACCAGGGCCGGGGUCCCCGUGCAACCGUCCCAGCCUCGCCACACGUUGGGGGGACUCGAGGCAAGGAGUGUCCACGGCUUCCCGGGGCCCUCGGAGGAAGGUCACCCUCCCAGCCUUGCCCGCUGCGAGUUGGCUCUGCUCCACCCGCUCCUGGUCCAGGCAACAGCGGUGGGGGCAGGACCGCCCUGCGGGGCUCGCUGGGCCUGGGAGGAAACUGAGGCACGGCGAGGGGAGCACCUUGCUCAGUGUCCCGUGAUAAGGAAGUGGCUGCCCGAGAACUCCAGUUUUCUGCCUCAGUGCCCCAAAUCGUUCGCGUCCUGGAGCGGGAAAAACUCUCCUGAGAGCGGCUCUGUCCUUUCGGGAAGCCAGGGCAUGGGGCCGCUGCUCAGGCCGCUGGGUGGGCGGGGGAGGAGGGACGCCCAGCGUGCGCCCCGAGGGUCAUCCUCGUCCCUGGGUCCCUCUGCGGGCUCCUCCGGGAUCCCAGGAGAGGUGGCCCUCCGCCGUCCCCGCGCCUGGGUCUGGGCGCACCCUGGUGGGAUGAACCUCCCUGCCCCCUCUCCUGCGUGGCUCCUGGCAGCUGCAGCCGGAGCCCACGGGGCUCGGGUCACGGAGAGGCGGCUCCUGAAGGCGGUGGGCUGUGUCUCUCUCUCCUCAUUCAGGCGCCUGGGGGGCCUGUCACUUCCCGAUGCCCCCCGGAGCUCUCCCUGGCACCCCUUUGUCCUGUCUGGGGGGUGGCACGGGCCCUGUGUGCCCGGCCGGCCCUGCUACAGUGCCGCUUGUGGUGGCCCUUCCGGGGUUGCCAUAGGCACGGACCCCCGGAGCCGAGAACAAGGGCCGCCCGCGGGGUCCGCGCCCGGGGCUGCCAGCUCCAGGCUGCUCAUUAUGCUGCAUGUUUUUGUUUUAAAUUACCUUCCCCCGUGAGCCAGCCAGCGCGUGUUUUACUCCCACUCUAAGCGCUGUUGACAGAUGUGUUAAUUCAUGUAUUUAAACAGAUAUUUAGCAGCCGGCAGAAGAUCCAGCUAAAAAUAGGUCAUCUUCCAAAAUGGGCUCUUUCACACCGGCUGCCGAGCGUGGCUAUCGGCGUGGCUCGUGGCUAUCGGCGUGGCUCGUGGUGGGGCCGGUUCCCAGGGGGCCACUCGAGUGUGGACGGCAGGCCCCAGGUGCAGGGGCAAGAGGGCGUGCCCUCGGCGGGGGACUGGCAGCACCUGGCCCACCAGGAGCGCGUGGGCGUCGGAGGGGCAGCAGCCGGCGUCCAGGUCUCUGCUCUGGGUGGGGGGCUGGGCUCCCGCUCCUGUUCCGAUUGGGGGUUUGCUGUUUGCAAAAUGAGGGGUUUGGCCUGAGUGGUCUCAAAAGGGCCCUUCAACCCCAGGAGAGCCGGAGGCUCCAGGCCGAGGGGGAAGUGGGCAGGGCUGGUCUAGGCGCUUCCUGGUCUGAGGUCCCGGCCAGGAUGGAGGCCCCUUGAGACCCCUUGGUUUCCGGGGAGUGCAGCUCACCCCAGAGCGGAAGGGCUGGGGCUCCGGGAUGGAGACAGCUGGAGAGACUGGAGCCCUCAGCUGGCCCCGCUGCCCUCUGGGGGCCCCUCGGUCCCUCCCCCUCAGCCACGUGCCUGGGGGCUCUGCAUGGCAGGGGCCUGGAGUGGGGCCAGGAGGAGCUCGGGCCUGGAAAACGUGGGCAGCAUGACGCUCCGUCUGUCUAGGAGGCAGGUCCUGUUCUUGUCCUGCCGUGCCCCAGGGCCACUCCUGCCUCCCCCACCUAGCCCCGGUGACCUGACCCCGCGUGGGGAGGACUGUCCCACCCCCAGGACUCCUGGAGACCUCGGGCACCAGAUCCCGGCUGACCUGUGACUGAUCAGGGAACCUCCACCGCGGUCCUCACCUUCCUGAGCUCAAGAGUGACACAGUUCCGGGCUCCGUCCGACCCGGCAUGUCCGAGCGGCAGAGCGGGGUGCGUCUGCUCCUGGUACCGAGUCUUUAGGGGCAUUCGUCGGGGUUCUCUAGAGAAACAGCCGGCAGGAUGUGUAUAUGGAGAGACAGAAAGGGGAGAGAGGGAGGGAGAUUACACAAGCACGGAGCCAGGAAGUCCCAGCGUGUGCGGCUGUCUGUGAGCUGCAGG